GAUGAAGAACGUAGCGAAAUGCGAUAAGUAAUGUGAAUUGCAGAAUUCAGUGAAUCAUCGAAUCUUUGAACGCACAUUGCGCCCAUUAGUAUUCUAGUGGGCAUGCCUGUUCGAGCGUCAUUAAGUCCACUUAAGCCCUGCUUAGUGUUGGGAGACUGCUCCAGCGGUGCUACCCUGUAGCUACCCUGCAGCUCCUCAAAGACAGCGGCGGAGUUGUGGUAUCCUCUGAGCUUAGUAACUUGUUCUAGCUUUCGAGUACACCACUUCCCCUGCCGUAAAACCCUUAAUUUUUAAUGGUUGACCUCGGAUCAGGUAGGAAUACCCGCUGAGCUUAAGCAUAUCAAUAAGCGGAGGA
rnacentral:misc_RNA from 1 species